GGGGUUACAGCCUUGCUGAAUUAUUCACCCUUGUCUUUUGCGUACUUCUUGUUUCCUUGGUGGGUUCGCCCACCACUAGGACAAACAUAAACCUUUUGUAAUUGCAAUCAGCGUCAGUAACAAAUUAAUAAUUACAACUUUCAACAACGGAUCUCUUGGUUCUGGCAUCGAUGAAGAACGCAGCGAAAUGCGAUAAGUAGUGUGAAUUGCAGAAUUCAGUGAAUCAUCGAAUCUUUGAACGCACAUUGCGCCCUUUGGUAUUCCAAAGGGCAUGCCUGUUCGAGCGUCAUUUGUACCCUCAAGCUUUGCUUGGUGUUGGGCGUCUUGUCUCUAGCUUUGCUGGAGACUCGCCUUAAAGUAAUUGGCAGCCGGCCUACUGGUUUCGGAGCGCAGCACAAGUCGCACUCUCUAUCAGCAAAGGUCUAGCAUCCACUAAGCCUUUUUUUCAACUUUUGACCUCGGAUCAGGUAGGGAUACCCGCUGAACUUAAGCAUAUCAAUAAGCGGAGGA
rnacentral:rRNA from 1 species